rnacentral:rRNA from 1 species
AUUGAACGCUGGCGGCAUGCCUUACACAUGCAAGUCGGACGGUAACGCGGGGCAACCUGGCGACGAGUGGCGAACGGGUGAGUAAUGCAUCGGAACGUGCCUGGUAGUGGGGGAUAACUGCUCGAAAGAGCAGCUAAUACCGCAUACGACCUGAGGGUGAAAGGGGGGGAUCGCAAGACCUCUCGCUAUCAGAGCGGCCGAUGUCGGAUUAGCUAGUUGGUGGGGUAAAAGCCCACCAAGGCGACGAUCCGUAGCUGGUCUGAGAGGACGACCAGCCACACUGGGACUGAGAAACGGCCCAGACUACUACGGGAGGCAGCAGUGGGGAAUUUUGGACAAUGGACGCAAGUCUGAUCCAGCCAUGCCGCGUGCGGGAAGAAGGCCUUCGGGUUGUAAACCGCUUUUGUCAGGGAAGAAAUCUUCUGGGCUAAUACCCUGGGAGGAUGACGGUACCUGAAGAAUAAGCACCGGCUAACUACGUGCCAGCCGCCGCGGUAA